UUAUGGAAAGCAUAUUGGUCCUGAAGACAGAAAGACACAGAGUUGUGUGUGUCUGCCUUUGCUGUGACAAUUUUCUCUGAGUUUCAAAUUCCAGAUGAAAAUCAUAUGAAGACACAGCAUCAUGUCAGGCAAUAGAGACAAAAGCAUCAACCUUUCGGGAUCAUUUGAUGGAUUAAACAGGAAAACCAAACACAGGUUACCAACAUCAGAAAUGAAAGAG
rnacentral:lncRNA from 1 species